UACGUAGGGUGCGAGCGUUAAUCGGAAUUACUGGGCGUAAAGCGUGCGCAGGCGGUUCGUUGUGUCGGCGGUGAAAGCCCCGGGCUUAACCUGGGAAUGGCCGUUGAAACUGGCGAACUGGAGUGAUGCAGAGGUCGAUGGAAUUGCCGGUGUAGUGGUGAAAUGCGUAGAGAUCGGCAGGAACACCCAGGGGGAAACCAGUCGACUGGGCAUCUACUGACGCUGAGGUGCGAGAGCGUGGGGAGCGAACCGG
rnacentral:rRNA from 1 species